AUUGAACGCUGGCGGCAGGCUUAACACAUGCAAGUCGAACGAGUGGCGGACGGGUGAGUAAUGCUUCGGAACCUAGCCAAUGGAGGGGGAUAACUACGGGAAACCGUAGCUAAUACCGCAUACCAUCAGAUGAACCCAUAUGGGAUUAGCUUGUUGGUGGGGUAACGGCUCACCUAGGCAACGCUCCCUAGCUGGUCUGAGAGGAUGACCAGCCACACUGGGACUGAGACACGGCACAGACUCCUACGGGAGGCAGCAGUGGGGAAUAUUGCACAAUGGGCGCAAGCCUGAUGCAGCCAUGCCGCGUGUAUGAGGAAGGCCUUCGGGUUGUAAAGUACUUUCAGCAGGGAGGCGGUACCCGCAGAAGAAGCACCGGCUAACUCCGUGCCAGCAGCCGCGGUAAUUC
rnacentral:rRNA from 1 species